AGCGAACGCUGGCGGCAGGCUUAACACAUGCAAGUCGAGCGGGCACUUUCGGGUGUCCGCGGCGGACGGGUGCGUAACGCGUGGGAACGUGCCCUCUGGUUCGGAAUAACUCAGGGAAACUUGAGCUAAUACCGGAUACGCCCUUUUGGGGAAAGGCUGGCUGCCGGAGGAUCGGCCCGCGUCUGAUUAGCUAGUUGGUGAGGUAACGGCUCACCAAGGCGACGAUCAGUAGCUGGUCUGAGAGGAUGAUCAGCCACACUGGGACUGAGACACGGCCCAGACUCCGACGGGAGGCAGCAGUGGGGAAUAUUGGACAAUGGGCGCAAGCCUGAUCCAGCCAUGCCGCGUGAGUGAUGAAGGCCUUAGGGUUGUAAAGCUCUUUUAUCCGGGACGAUAAUGACGGUACCGGAGGAAUAAGCCCCGGCUAACUUCGUG
rnacentral:rRNA from 1 species